rnacentral:rRNA from 1 species
GCUCAGUAACACGUGGACAACCUGCCCUUAGGACGGGGAUAAACCCGGGAAACUGGGUAUAAUACCCGAUAGGUCUCGAGUGCUGGAAUGCAUCGAGAUCUAAAGCUCCGGCGCCUAAGGAUGGGUCUGCGGCCUAUCAGGUAGUAGUGGGUGUAGUGUACCUACUAGCCUACGACGGGUACGGGUUGUGAGAGCAAGAGCCCGGAGAUGGAUUCUGAGACACGAAUCCAGGCCCUACGGGGUGCAGCAGGCGCGAAAACUUUACAAUGCUGGCAACAGCGAUAAGGGAACCUCGAGUGCCAGGUUACAAAUCUGGCUGUCGUGAUGCCUAAAAAGCAUUGCAUAGCAAGGGCCGGGCAAGACCGGUGCCAGCCGCCGCGGUAACACCGGCGGCUCGAGUGGUAACCGUUAUUAUUGGGUCUAAAGGGUCUGUAGCCGGCCGGAUAAGUCUCUUGAGAAAUCUGGCAGCUUAACUGUCAGGCUUUCAGGAGAUACUGUCUGGCUCGAGGCCGGGAGAGGUGAGAGGUACUUCAGGGGUAGGGGUGAAAUCUUGUAAUCCUUGAAGGACCACCAGUGGCGAAGGCGUCUCACCAGAACGGACCUGACGGCAAGGGACGAAAGCUAGGGGCACGAACCGGAUUAGAUACCCGGGUAGUCCUAGCCGUAAACGAUACUCGCUAGGUGUCGGCCACGGUGCGACCGUUGUCGGUGCCGUAGGGAAGCCGUGAAGCGAGCCACCUGGGAAGUACGGCCGCAAGGCUGAAACUUAAAGGAAUUGGCGGGGGAGCAC